UAGGGAAUCUUGCACAAUGGGCGAAAGCCUGAUGCAGCGACGCCGCGUGUGGGAAGAAGGCCUUCGGGUUGUAAACCACUUUCAGGAGGGAAGAAGCGCAAGUGACGGUACCUCCAGAAGAAGGUCCGGCCAACUACGUGCCAGCAGCCGCGGUAAUACGUAGGGACCGAGCGUUGUCCGGAAUUAUUGGGCGUAAAGAGCUCGUAGGCGGUUCUUUAAGUCGGGUGUGAAAUCUCAGGGCUCAACCCUGAAACCGCACCCGAUACUGGAGAACUUGAGGCAGGUAGGGGAGAUCGGAAUUCCUGGUGUAGCGGUGAAAUGCGCAGAUAUCAGGAGGAACACCGGUGGCGAAGGCGGAUCUCUGGGCCUGUUCUGACGCUGAGGAGCGAAAGCGUGGGGAGCAAACAGGAUUAGAUACCCCCGUAGUCC
rnacentral:rRNA from 1 species